rnacentral:rRNA from 1 species
GGGCGAAUUUCAGGCUUUACCAUGCAAGUUCGAGGGGCAUCAGUUUGGUUUGCUUGCAACCAAAGCUGGCGACCCGUUUCACGGGUGAGUAACACGUAUCCAACCUACCUCAUACUCCGUGAUAGCCUUUCGAAAGAAAGAUUAAUAUCCGAUAGCAUAUAUUUCCCGCAUGGGUUUUAUAUUAAAGAAAUUCGGUAUGAGAUGGGGAUGCGUUCCAUUAGUUUGUUGGGGGGGUAACGGCCCACCAAGACUACGAUGGAUAGGGGUUCUGAGAGGAAGGUCCCCCACAUUGGAACUGAGACACGGUCCAAACUCCUACGGGAGGCAGCAGUGAGGAAUAUUGGUCAAUGGACGCGAGUCUGAACCAGCCAAGUAGCGUGAAGGAUGACUGCCCUAUGGGUUGUAAACUUCUUUUAUAUGGGAAUAAAGUGGUCCACGUGUGGACUUUUGUAUGUACCAUAUGAAUAAGGAUCGGCUAACUCCGUGCCAGCAGCCGCGGUAAUACGGAGGAUCCGAGCGUUAUCCGGAUUUAUUGGGUUUAAAGGGAGCGUACGCGGAUUGUUAAGUCAGUUGUGAAAGUUUGCGGCUCAACCGUAAAAUUGCAGUUGAUACUGGCAGCCUUGAGUGCAGUAGAGGUGGGCGGAAUUCGUGGUGUAUCGGUGAAAUGCUUAUAUAUCACGAAUAAUUCCGAUUGCCACUG